GCCCGCAUGGCUCAGUGGUAGAGCGCAUCACUAGUACUUCUCGAAGGUUUGAAACGGUUGUAUAUAGGUCAAUGAUGAGGUCGUCAGUUCGAUUCUGGCUGUGGGCA